rnacentral:lncRNA from 1 species
CAAACUGCAGCUUCUGCUUCCCCCACUUCACUCUCAAAAACCAGUCUGAAAGAUGCAGAACUUAAUAUCCAGCAUAAACAGAACAGAUGACUGGGGAUACAAACAUCAUAAAGCCACCCCAAGACAGUCAUGCCUUCGGAUCAGGCUUGACCAGCUGUUGAAAGCAGGAAAAGCAGCCACUUGGUGGUUGCCUGCAGAGACAGGUCAGUGAACUUAAUGCUUUUUUCCAAAGUUAAAUGUUGAUUUUAUUUUAUAUUUCAUAAAUUCUGUGCAGCCAGUACAUAUUGUAAUGUGGUAAUUAUCAUGAAAUAAUAAACCAGGUUUGCUACAUAGACUUAUUCA